AGGACGGGUAACAACCCCGAGAAAUUGGGGCUAAUACCCGAUAGGUGUGAUGUCCUAGAAUGGUAUCACGCCCAAAGGUCCCAACAGCAUGUUGUUGUUACGCCUAAGGAUGGGGCUGCGGCCGAUCAGGCAGUUGGUGAGGUAACGGCUCACCAAACCUUUGACCGGUACGGGCCAUGAGAGUGGUAGCCCGGAGAUGGAUACUGAGACAAGGAUCCAGGCCCUACGGGGCGCAGCAGGCGCGAAACCUCCUCAAUGCACUCACGUGCGAAGGGGUUACCUCGAGUGCCAUCUGAAGAAGGUGGCUUUUCCUUGGUCUAAAUAGCCUUGGGAAUAAGAGGGGGGCAAGACUGGUGUCAGCCGCCGCGGUAACACCAGCCCCUCGAGUGGUGGGGAUGAUUAUUUGGCCUAAAGCGUCCGUAGCCGGCCGAGUAAGUUUCCCGUUAAAUCCAGCGUCUCAAGCGUUGGACUGCGGGAAAUACUGCCCGGCUAGAGAGUGGGAGAGGUAAGCGGUAUUCUGGGGGUAGGGGCGAAAUCCUUUGAUCCCCGGAGGACCACCAGUGGCGA
rnacentral:rRNA from 1 species